UACGAAGGGGGCUAGCGUUGUUCGGAAUCAUUGGGCGUAAAGCGCGUGUAGGCGGCUUGGCAAGUCAGUUGUGAAAGCCCGGGGCCCAACCCCGGAACUGCAUCUGAAACUGCCUGGCUAGAGUCCCGGAGAGGAAGGCAGAAUUCCCGGUGUAGGGGUGAAAUCCGUAGAUAUCGGGAGGAAUACCAGCGGCGAAGGCGGCCUUCUGGACGGUGACUGACGCUGAGACGCGAAAGCGUGGGGAGCAAACAGG
rnacentral:rRNA from 1 species